GCUUCCUGGUCGCCACACCGCCCUCUGGUUCGCACACAGCACCGGAGAAACCGGAGAAACCGGAGAAACCGGGAACGGCACAUGGGGCACCUCCGUGCUAUUUUUGCAACUUACUCUCAACAGAAGCCAUGAACAGCAUAUUGGAUAUAACAGAUAGCUAAACUAAUGACUCUAGAAAUUCUCUGAGCACCCAGAAGAAAAGAUAAAGAGGCGAAAAUAAUAAAUAACAAGACAAGAAAAAGGCAAGAACGCAAAAUAUCUGUUGGGUAUUCCUGGAGAUUCCAGAAGGCAAGCGUGAGCAGAGAAGUAAUGAUGGAAGAAAUAA
rnacentral:lncRNA from 1 species